UUGCUUUAAUUUAAUCAUAAACUGAGACACACGACACGGUUAGUUCAGGGUUUUGAGAGGUUGGCCGUCGGCGGACGCGGGCCAGAGGACGUCUUGCGACGGUCCUCCGGCGGCCGUGAGGCGGGUCCGCCGAAGCAACAGAGGUUCGGUAAACAAAGGGUUGGGAGGUCGGGCCUGAACGACCCUCACUCGUUAAUGAUCCCUCCGCAGGUUCACCUACGGAGA
rnacentral:misc_RNA from 1 species